rnacentral:lncRNA from 1 species
CUUGAUCCUUCUUCAUUUGGUCUGUGGUUCUUUUUUACUUUCUUUUCUUCUGCCGUGUAGCUCUUAUUGAUUGCUUUUUCUUCUUCAUUUUUUUUUGUACAGGUCGAUCAACUCAAUUGGUUUUUGAAAUCAAAACCUUGCUCUACAAAAAGAGUUGAGUUGAACCAUUGAGUUCAAUGGGAAUCAAAUCCAUCAUCAACUCUCUCAAAUGCUCGACUCACAGCUCUGCUUCAUCACCUUGUACCCCCAUUUUGCUAUUUUCCAACCAAACCCACAGUGUCAACUCAAAGCCUACAACUGUGUGUACCAUCAAUGAACCCACCAUUUGCCAGUGUAUUGUAGCUCCGUAUUUAUCGUGGAUUGCUGGGGUCAGGAAUAUAUUUAGGUUUCUUGUGACGAGGUGUUUUGGUUUAUACAUUUGCCUACAUCUUACAUUUUUCUGCUUUUAUUAAUAGGAUUAACUGCUUGGAUUGUUGGUAAGGAAUUUAUUUAAUAUUUUGUUACAGCUAUAUAAUAUUUUCUUUCUAAUUUUUACACUCUCAAAUGCUCCCUCUCUUUAAAAAAA